AUAAAGUUCACCUUUAGUCCCUUGUCUACACCCUGAAGGUGUAACAUGAGGGAUCCCAUCUGCUAUGGUUUGAAUGUGCGUGCCCGCUCCAAAAUUCAUGCUGAAACUUAAUCCCCAGCGCAACUGUAUCGGAAGCAUAAUGGGACUAAGACACCAUCAGAACUUGGGACCAAAAGAAUACUUUUGCCCUCUGAGAGCUGAUUCUUAACACAGAAUAAAAAUGAAGAAUUACUUUAAAGAGAUGGACUACCUCAAGGGACUAGAACUAUUGCCACUGAGGGCAGGUGAAAGUUCAGCCAACUCGGAACCCGGAGGCCCCACCUUACCUCCCUUUGUGAAGAGCCCAGAGCCUUUGUCCAAAGCUGCAUCACUUCCCACCCAGCCCUUCCUGAGCCAACUCCCCGAUGUCUCCAGAAGAACACAGUCGGCAUCAUCGUGAUAACAUCAGGGAAACUCCUAUUUCCAGCAGUUUCUCCUUCAGCUGCAAAAAUGUGCAGCAGUAGACAGGGCGUGGGUUUUUGAAGUCUCUGCAGGAAGUAGAGUUAUUUUCUCAGCACCACAUCUGAGCGCAUCUUCUAAGGGUGGCCGACUGUGUGGGAGCUGCAGGAGCUCAGCCGGGAUGCAGCCCUCCCAUUCCCCACCCUGUCCACUACCACCACGCCUGGAUCCGACAGGCAGGGCAGGACCCCAUGCCACGUGGUAACUGUUAAGGAAAAUGGAGCCAGGUAGGGGGGAUGUCUGAUACCCUUCCUGGUUUUCCUGAGUGUUCUUUGUCUCCCCAACUCCUACUCACAAUAAAUCUGACUACACUUAAACUUAGAUCAUCAUAAGAGACCCCGCAAAUGCCCACCAUCCUCCACUGCUGUGAUCAUGAAUCUAGAAUGGACAUUUCAUAUCAAUGCCACAGUCCCCUGAGACCAUCAGCCAGAAAUGUUAUCACAACUCCCUCGCUUUGCCCUCCAUUCCCAGAAGGCAAGGAAAGAAGGAACCCAGUUUCCCAGCACCCAGAUGCCUACUGAUCCUGGCACGCAGCUCAAAGUUCAGUUACAUUAAUGAUGGGCCUACUGCAUGCUUGGGGCGCUUCCCUGUGUGUUUUGUGUGGUCCUUUCAGAAGUCCUAUGGAUAGACAUUGUUAGCCCUAUGGUAUAGCUGAAGUUGAGAAUCCCUGGUGGUUAAGUCAUUCCCCCAGAUCACAUGGAUGGCAAGUGACAGAGGCAAGACCCAUCCUUGGGUCAGGUAUGAACGUCUCGAAGGCUUGGAUCUGUCUGCACGUGGGUGAUUAUCACAUCCAGACUUGCACUGAAGGUCAUGCUGGCUGCCAUGGGCUGUGAAUACCUUUCCUCAAUCAGGCACUUUGUGUCUAUUAUCUCAUUUAAUCUUUGUUCUGCUUUAUAAAGUGGCUCUUAAUAUGCCCCCUCUACAAAUGAGCCACCUUAUCUAAUGUCACUAAGAUGUGUACCGGACCUGAUUCCAAAGCCUAUGCAGUUUCCAUUAAGCACCUCUGCCUUUUGAAAAGUAGGUAAUUUCUCCAUCUCUCCUAGCCCCCAUUUUCUGAAUCUGUGGCACAUUAAAUGCAUAUAAAUGCAAAGACAGAUGACAGUAUCUCCAUGUCUGAAAGGUAGCCUACGUGUGUUAGCCUCUGGAGGCACCCUGCUAGGAGGCUGGAAUCUGGGAUCCAAUGCGGUCCAGCAUUUAGCAGAGUGUGCCGCUGCUCCAGGCUCCAGAGCAUUCUAGGUGCUAUGUAACAUUUGACAUUUUGACAUGGGCAUUAGAAAAAAAAAAUACAACUAGCACACUAAACUCAUUAUUUCAAAUAUUGAUCAGGAUAAAAAUAUGUUAACAAAAAAGUCAUUAAAAAUAAUGAGCUUCUUGUGAGUGAUUUACAGAUUUGACUAAAAUGCAAACUGUCAAUGACAAAUAUGAGAAUUAAUAUACUCCAAAGGGUAAUGAAGGAACAGUCCUCCUGACAUCUUUACAUGCCAGGUAGCACCCUGGCCUUUUAGAGAGGUAGGGAUAGCAAUUGUAAAGCAGCACUGGGUCCCCUAGCUAGAAUCGUCCAUUACUGGCUUUUGUCACUAACUGAAAAAUGCGGUCAUGGUUUCCUUUUCUCUGGCACAUUAAAAAUAAAGGACAUCUUUUUCCUUUCAUGUGGACAUCUGAUGAGAUUUACUGAAACUCUACCUUUAACGCUGCAAGAGUUUAUGGGAAAUAGUAAUCCACCCCAAGAAUAAACAGUAAAUGGAAUGACGAUUUUCUAGGAAGUGCUGUGUCUGGCUGCGGCAGAAGCAGCAAUGAGCUAAGAGAGGUUUUUUGGCAGCCCUGAAGGGCC
rnacentral:lncRNA from 10 species